rnacentral:rRNA from 1 species
UACGUAGGGUGCGAGCGUUGUCCGGAAUUAUUGGGCGUAAAGGGCUCGUAGGCGGUUUGUCGCGUCGGGAGUGAAAACUCAGGGCUUAACCCUGAGCCUGCUUCCGAUACGGGCAGACUAGAGGUAUGCAGGGGAGAACGGAAUUCCUGGUGUAGCGGUGAAAUGCGCAGAUAUCAGGAGGAACACCGGUGGCGAAGGCGGAUCUCUGGGCCAUUACUGACGCUGAGGAGCGAAAGCGUGGGGAGCGAACAGG